rnacentral:rRNA from 1 species
CCUACGGGAUGCAGCAGUGAGGAAUAUUGGUCAAUGGACGAGAGUCUGAACCAGCCAAGUAGCGUGAAGGAUGACUGCCCUAUGGGUUGUAAACUUCUUUUAUAUGGGAAUAAAACGUUCCACGUGUGGGAUUUUGUAUGUACCAUAUGAAUAAGGAUCGGCUAACUCCGUGCCAGCAGCCGCGGUAAUACGGAGGAUCCGAGCGUUAUCCGGAUUUAUUGGGUUUAAAGGGAGCGUAGGUGGAUUGUUAAGUCAGUUGUGAAAGUUUGCGGCUCAACCGUAAAAUUGCAGUUGAAACUGGCAGUCUUGAGUACAGUAGAGGUGGGCGGAAUUCGUGGUGUAGCGGUGAAAUGCUUAGAUAUCACGAAGAACUCCGAUUGCGAAGGCAGUUCACUGGACUGCAACUGACACUGAGGCUCGAAAGUGUGGGUAUCAAACAAGAUUAGAUACCCCUGUAGUC